CUUUUCUUGCCUGCCGCCAUCCAAGUAAGGUGUAACUUGCUCCUUCUUGCCUUUCAUCAUAGUUUUGAGGCCUCCCCAGCCAUGUGGAACUCUGAGGCCUUUGAGAUACUAUAUGAACUGCUCCAACAUUCUGAAGAGAAGGUCUGGAUCAUUUAAGUAGGACUUGCAAAGAAAGUGGCCUAGAUCCUUAGCUGAGCUGAUCACUUACCUCAAACCUAUAAAGAAGUGGAGGGGCCAAGAAUAGGUGUUGGAUAUCAGCGGGAGAGUUUCAUCAAAGAGCUGUCAGUUUCAUCUCAACCUUACCCUCCAGGAGAGGUAAGAUGUCCUCUGUCUCACAAUAAAUGAGUUUGACUUUUGGUCCUGGGCAUCUGUGGUACUGAGAGCUUAGGGCUGGCUCCAUGCUUUAAAAUAUGUAUAUGUGAGAACUGCAUGAACUCGCCAGUGCGGAGAUGAAAAAGAAAGAAAAAAGUCAGGAAGCUCCAGAAGCUUUCUACAUUUCCAUUUGAGAUAAGGACAAGGAUGCUUGAAUGUUUUUCUUGAAGAAGUGAACAAAUGGAACAGAAAUCUACAUUUUACCUGAGAGAGGAAAGAGAGUGCAUAACUGUUUCUCAUGAACCACAGUGAAGUUUGAGAGCAUAGGCUCAGAACCAACUCAAAUCCUCUAUACAAAGAUUGCCUGGAGAGUCAAGGUGAACACCCCUCCUACGCACACACCUGCCAACACACACACAAAAGACAGAGGAAGACUACAGGAUUGCAAAAGGAGAGAGAAGGAACACAAGUGGCUAGCUGAAGGAAAAGUAUUGCUUAAAUUUGGGGACCACUGCAGAAGGUUUCCAAUAGCACUCCAAAAAAAUAGGAGGCCACAUGAAUCAUAAUCAAUCCCAAAGGAAUCCAUCAUAAAUACUGGUCACAGCUGGAAGUAACCAAUACUCUAUUGGUGUCUGUCCUUGUUCAUGUACUUGUCUCCCCACCACUCCAAUCACUGAAGCUGAGUCUCUUGGGUGGUGUGCAAAGGAGAUCGAAUCCAGCCAAGUGACAGGAUGAAAGAGAAUCUGACCACACUCUCCAUACUUGCCACAGGCUUCCAAGCUCAAAGGGUCCUGUAGUGAGAGAGGAGUGGCUCUUUGUUUUUUUUUGUUUUGUUUUGUUUUGUUUUGUUUUAAGAUGGAGUCUCCCUCUGUUGUCCAGGCUGGAGUGCAGUGGCGUAAUCUCAGCUCACUGCAACCUCUGCUUCCUGGGUUCAAGCAAUUCUCGUGCCUCAGCAUCCCUGAGUAGCUGGGAUUACAGGUGCCCGUCACCACACCCGGCUAAUUUUUGUAUUUUUAGUAGAGACAGCAGAAAUGGGGCUUUGCCAUGUUGGCCAGGCUGAUUUCAAACUCCUGACCUCAGGUGAUCAGCCCACCUUGGCCUCCCAAAGUUCUGGGAAUACAGGCGUGAGCCACUGCACCCAGCUGAGAGGCUCUUUUUAAAUUUUAAAAUAUUUAAUUGACAAAUGAAAAUUAUAUAUAAUCAAGGUACACACAUGAUGAUUUAAUAUGCUUGUACAUUAUAUAUUGUCUAUCACAGUGUAAUUAACAUAUCCUUCACCACCCAUAGUUACCAUUGUGGAGUGUGGUGAGAGUUGAGGACACUUAUAAUCUGCUAUCUUAACAAAGUUCAAGUAAACAAUACAGUAUUAGUAACUAAGGUCACUAUUCUAUACAUUAGAUGCCCAGAAAUUAUUCAUCUUAUAAUAAAGUUUGUACCCUUUGACCAAAUUUCCUGAGCUGCUCUGUGCUCCCCACCACGCCUGUCAACCACUAUUCUGCUGUUUGCCUCUAUGAGUUUGACUUUUGAAAUUUUGGAGGUUUUAAAGAUCACUCUGGUCUAAACAUAAACUAGCCAAUUCAGUAACCACUAGCAGCAUGCAACCACUUAAAUUUAAAUUUAAAAUAAUUAAAAUUAAACAAGGUUAAAAAUCCAGUUUAUCAGUCACACUAGCCAGAUUUCAAAUACUCAAUAACUACUUGCAGCUACUUUAUUGGACAGUGCAGAUAUUAAAAUUUUCUAUUAGACAGCACUGGUGCCAUAUAUAUUAAUCAGUGAACUGAGAGUUUGGUUAUUUGUCACUAAAAGUUAUCAGAAGACUUUUUUUUUUUUUUUGAGAUGGAGUCUGGCUCUGUCGCCCAGGCUGGAGUGCAAUGGCACUGUCUUGGCUUACUGCAAGCUCUGCCUCCUGGGUUCAGACAAUUCUCCUGCCUCAGCCUCCCAUGUAGCUGGGACUACAGGUGCCCGCCAUCAUGCCCAGCUAAUUUUUUGUAUUUUUUAGUAGAGAGGGGGUUUCACCAUGUUAGCCAGGAUGGUCUUGAUCUCCUGACCUCAUGAUCCACCUGCCUCAGCCUCCUGAAGUGCUGGGAUUACAGGCGUGAGCCACGGCACCUGGCCUAUCAGAGGGCUUUUGUUAUUACCUGAGAGUUGGCAGAUAACAUGAUUGCACAGAGUAGGAUUAAAUGGCCCAAAGAAGAACAGAGUGGUUGAUCUGAUUUCACUUGAUGAGUCGCAGCUCUUCAGUGCUCUGUUUCUACACCCAGGUAAAACUCGUUGCCUAAGCAAAAGUAUUGAUUAUUAUUGAAAAUAAUACACAUCAAAUGUAGUGCCUGGGCAUCUAUUGGGCUCCAUAUUCAACUUUUUCUUUUCUUGGAAAAUUUCGGGUAGAGUGAGGGAAGAAUAUAAAAAAAAUCCAAGGAAGUCAUUUAAACCAAAUAAAAUGAUAACACUUGUGAUACUCUAAAUGUGGAUUCUAGAUUUUAAAAAUGAAUGUAAAAAUAAAAACACCACCGAAGUGUUAUAAAUAUUGUAAAAAAUUUGUGGGGUUGAAAAUUUGAAAAUUAC
rnacentral:lncRNA from 1 species